rnacentral:lncRNA from 1 species
GGCCAAGGUAAGUGAAAACCGUAAUAAAGGGAAAAUUAUCGAAAGACCCUUAAGGGCAAAAAUUACCAAAAUACUCCUAUGUGUCUAAUGUAAGUUUAAUGGAUGUGACAUGCAUAUCUACUGCAUACAAAUGAUAUUCUGCUUAGGUUGGAUAUGGGUUGGGAAUUAUGGAACGGAGGAAGUAUAUGAGGAUCGCAUGGUUGCCUGACAAUCGUGGAUCCAUUGACGGCUUUUAAGCCCAAUAUGUAAAUAAAGGUAGUUCCGCAACUCGGCUACGCUAGAUGUGUAUCAGUUGGGUGGGUCGAUAUUUAUAUCCCCACAUGAUGUGUAUCGGGGGAC